ACGGAAGGCAGCAGCUAAGAAUAUUCCGCAAUGGACGAAAGUCUGACGGAGCGACGCCGCGUGGAUGAUGAAGGCCGGAAGGUUGUAAAAUCCUUUUAUAACUGAGGAAUUAGUAUGGUGAGAGAAACGCCAUAUGGUGACUGUAGGUUAUGAAUAAGCAACGGCUAAUUACGUGCCAGCAGCCGCGGUAACACGUAAGUUGCGAGCGUUGUUCGGAAUUAUUGGGCGUAAAGGGCAUGUAGGCGGUUUUGCAAGCUUGGUGUGAAAGGCAGGAGCUUAACUCCUGGACUGCGUUGAGAACUGCAAGACUAGAGUCACUGAGGGGCAAUCAGAAUUCCUGGUGUAGGGGUGAAAUCUGUAGAUAUCUGGAAGAACACCGAUGGCGAAGGCAGGCUUCGAGCGGACGACUGACGCUGAGGUGCGAAGGUGCGGGGAGCAAACAGGAUUAGAUACCCUGGUA
rnacentral:rRNA from 1 species